GAUCCUGGCUCAAGACGAACGCUGGCGGCACGCUUAACACAUGCAAGUCGAACGAGAGAAGAGAAGCUUGCUUUUCUGAUCUAGUGGCGGACGGGUGAGUAACACGUGAGCAAUCUGCCUUUCAGAGGGGGAUACCGAUUGGAAACGAUCGUUAAUACCGCAUAAUAUAAUUGAACCGCAUGUAUUGUAAUUACUACGAAAGUAUUUAUCGCUAGGAAAGUAGUGGACGCGUCGGUCGU
rnacentral:rRNA from 1 species